CUCCUAGCUGCUGGUGCAAAUCCUAAUCUGCCUCAACCUGAUCCAGUUUCCUUACCUCUAUUUGCUGCGUUGGAGAAGCGUUGGUGGCGGGGCGCAGAGCUGCUGCUGGAUGCUGGUGCAGAUGCUAAGGCAACAGAUGCAGAGCACAACAACAGAUCAGCUACAUUCUUUGCUAAGGACAAUGUUGAAAUACUUGCAAGACUUCUAAAAGGUGGCUGUUCCUACGAGGAGAUCAGUGAUUGGAUUGGAGGAGGAGAAUUUACCAAAA